rfam:Pteropus alecto contig86375, whole genome shotgun sequence.
GGUUCCAUAGUAUAGCACAUCUGCUUUACACUCAGAAGAUUCUGGGUUCAUGCCCCAGUGGAGCCA